UACGGAGGAUCCGAGCGUUAUCCGGAUUUAUUGGGUUUAAAGGGUGCGCAGGCGGGAGAUUAAGUCGGCGGUGAAAUUUUGCAGCUCAACUGUAAAAGUGCCUUCGAUACUGGCUUCCUUGAGUGUGGAUGAAGUAGGCGGAAUUUGUGGUGUAGCGGUGAAAUGCAUAGAUAUCACGAGGAACUCCGAUUGCGCAGGCAGCUUACUAAACCAUAACUGACGCUCAGGCACGAAGGCGUGGGGAUCAAACAGGAUUAGAUACCCCGGUA
rnacentral:rRNA from 1 species